rnacentral:tRNA from 1 species
CGGGGUGUAGGUCAUCGGAAGACCGCUGUGUUCGGGACGCAGAGGUAGUGGGUUCAAUUCCCGCCACCCCGACCA